UUCUUGGAGGAGUUCUUGGAAGAGGAAAAGAACAGCAGCAAUACGAACAAACCAAAUUGUCAAACACUCAACCAGUAGAAGGUGAAUGUACUUCCAAAAUCAUUUCCCUGAUCCCCUGCAAAUAGCUUGAUCACACUGGAGAAUGUAACCCAUGGAGUUGCCGAACUGUAUUUUUCUGCUUUACCUCAUGCGGAAUAAUCAAACUAAGAGUUUUCUGAAAUGUCACUUCACAAACACACUGAAGAAACUGGGGAGGUCAAGACAAGUGGUGUAUGCAAGGCCAUCUGUGAACACUGUUUUCUGAGGCUGACUUUUCCAUUACUGAGGACAGUUUCAUGUAACGGACCAAGCAUGGGGCAGAUCCUAUCAGCACUGGAUCCAGGCAUCAUGGAGCCUUGUGGUGAAUCUUAGCUCUUGAAGUGCCAGGAUGCUUUUGUCAAAUUCUUAUUCUUUCUAAAUUUCAAUGUCUUUACUUGUAAAUAAGAAAUACAGUUGCUUUAAAACUUAAGAUUCUGGAAGUAAAGUGUAGUGGGCUGAAUGGUGGUCCCCCAAUAAAGAUAUUCAUGUCCUAA